rnacentral:rRNA from 1 species
GCAUGUCUAAGUACAAACUGUUUUUAUAGUGAAACCGCAAAAGGCUCAGUACAACAGCUAUCAUUUAUUUGAUCAAUUAAAACAGUUACUUGGAUAACUGUGGUAAUUCCAGAGCUAAUACAUGCAAACAACAUGAAUCAUUCGUAGCAAUACGGGUUGAGACAUGUGCUUUUAUUAGACUUUAAAACCAAUAUCUGCACUUCGGUGUAGGUUUGUUUUAGAUGAAUCUGGAUAAUUAUGGCUGAUCGUACGGUCUUAGCACCGACGAUAGAUCAUUCAAAUGUCUGCCCUAUCAACUAUUGAUGGUAGUAUAGUGGACUACCAUGGUUGCAACGGGUAACGGGGAAUCAGGGUUCGAUUCCGGAGAGGGAGCCUGAGAAACGGCUACCACAUCUAAGGAAGGCAGCAGGCGCGUAAAUUACCCAAUCCCGGCACGGGGAGGUAGUGACGAAAAAUAACAAUACAGGACUCACAUCCGAGGCCCUGUAAUUGGAAUGAGUACACG